ensembl:rRNA 5S_rRNA 5S ribosomal RNA
GAGUAUGGCCAAAUCACCCUGAACGUGCCUGAUCUCCUCAGAUCUCAGAAACUAAGCAGGGUUGGACCUAGUUAGUACUUGGAUGGGAGAAGUAGAAUAGUCCCUGUGAGAUAUAGAGAAAUAAAACAUA